rnacentral:rRNA from 1 species
GUAACGGCGAGUGAAGCGGCAAGAGCUCAAAUUUGAAAGCUGGCCCCUCCGGGGUCCGCGUUGUAAUUUGCAGAGGAUGCUUUGGGUGCGGCCCCCGUCUAAGUGCCCUGGAACGGGCCGUCAGAGAGGGUGAGAAUCCCGUCUUGGGCGGGGUGUCCGUGCCCGUGUAAAGCUCCUUCGACGAGUCGAGUUGUUUGGGAAUGCAGCUCUAAAUGGGUGGUAAAUUUCAUCUAAAGCUAAAUACUGGCCGGAGACCGAUAGCGCACAAGUAGAGUGAUCGAAAGAUGAAAAGCACUUUGAAAAGAGAGUUAAACAGCACGUGAAAUUGUUGAAAGGGAAGCGCUUGCGACCAGACUCGCCCUCGGGGUUCAGCCGGCACUCGUGCCGGUGUACUUCCCCGGGGGCGGGCCAGCGUCAGCUUGGGCGGCCGGUCAAAGGCCUCCGGAAUGUAGUGCCCCCCGGGGCACCUUAUAGCCGGAGGUGCAAUGCGGCCAGCUGGGCUGAGGAACGCGCUUCGGCACGGACGCUGGCAUAAUGGUCGCAAACGACC